UCCAGUAAUUUUAACGUGCAGAUGGAUUUUUAAUAACCACUGAUUUAAGACAAGGAGGUGAAGGAGACUUUGAAGAAGGAAUUGUAGAUACAGAGAUUUCCUGAUUAGGAUGGAUAAUGGCCUGAUGUACAAACCGAACUCCCAGAGUGUCCGCCAGGAACUCAUACUCACCAGGAGUUGAGUGCUCCUGGAGCCAUCUCUCCUCUGGCAGGCGGACAUGUAAUCUCACCUGGUCAGGACGAUGGGCACCUAAUUGGGUGGUGAGACUUUAGGAUCUAACAAUUGCCAGGAAGAUUCUGGGAGGGAAGAAGCUAAACUCGGAAUUAAUUUGGUUCAGCCUGUGAAACAAUUCGGUGGCUCUGCCUAAUUCUGCCAAUGAAAGAACUUUUCCCAGAUACAAUUAGCAUGUAAAUCAGCGGCAGAGCGAGCAAGGGGCCCUGGCGGCGACCCGGGCAGGACAGAGGUGCCUUUAGGAGAACCGCGAGGACCGCGAGGACCCUUCGCCUCGGGCCCGCGCCAGGGGCGCAAGGAGGAGCUCAGGAAUCCAGCUCGAGCUGGCCCUGCCGUCGCCAGCCAAAAGCUGCCUGUUAAAUAGUGCAGUCGAGGAUGGAGCCGUCCUGGCCCACCAACGCCCUGCUCCCGAUCCCAACCGGACUCGAAAAGGACCUCGGAGA